AUCUAGAAUAGUUUAAAGACCUAUUUGAAAUGAGAGAGUAGGAUGUGUGAAAUGAGUUUUAAGUACUACUAAGGAUUCAAGAAGUUCUAUCAUGGUGAUAUAAGAAAUACAUUGUAGAUGUUAAGUUCUCAUACACUGAAUUAUUUACUUUCAGAUCUCCACUCCUGGACAUUUAACUUUCUCAGGCACAAUAAGGAUGAUAAAAAAGACAAGGACAAGAUACCCUCAGUAGCUUCCUCUCAUCAUGGCACUCACGGCAUUGGUCGAAGCAACAACAGCAGCAGCAGUCAUGAAGGAACCACGUCAUCUGCAUCCUCAGCUCAGGAGAGUUCAACUGCACCAACCUCCAUGCCAAGAAAUGAACAUCAAAAUCAGCAUUCAUCUCCAUAAGAUGAUGUUCUCCUUGGGAUGUAUUGAUGUUUGCCAUUGAGUUUUUCACGUUUGCAAGAUUUCUAAAUAAUUGAUCCUUUUUUUUAUUAGCAUAUUAGUUUUGAUAAUUAGCCUAAGACUAAAUAUAUCUUUUUUAUUGGAAAGUAUGUUGUUCAUAUGAAUUGAUCUCUCAGAAUUAAUUUGCAUACUUUUCUACAAUAUUGUCAUCCUGUGAGAGUUAACAAAGAAUAUGUGUCAUGUCUUUACACUCAGCUUUCAGAUGUCUUCUAUUUAAUAAUUUGUUUCAUUUACAUUUUGUGUUUGUCACUUGUUAGAACACUUUUGAUUAAUUUAUUCAAUAAAUUCAUUUGAUUCAAUGGUG
rnacentral:sRNA from 1 species